GUGCCAGCCGCCGCGGUAAUACGUAGGGGGCGAGCGUUGUCCGGAAUGACUGGGCGUAAAGGGCGCGUAGGUGGCCUUACAAGUCUGGAGUGAAAGUCCCGUUUUUAAGGUGGGAAUGGCUUUGGAAACUGUAAGGCUUGAGUGUGGGAGAGGAUAGCGGAAUUCACGGUGUAGCGGUGAAAUGCGUAGAGAUCGGGAGGAAAACCAGUGGCGAAGGCGGCUAUCUGGACCAAGACUGACGGUGAAGCGCGAAAGCGUGGGCAGCAAACAGGAUUAUAUACCCUGGUAGGCCACGCUGUAAACGAUGG
rnacentral:rRNA from 1 species